rfam:Ornithorhynchus anatinus chromosome 7, whole genome shotgun sequence.
CCCCUCUCAGGGUCACACCUGGAGAGUUUCCAGUACUCUACCUGUCUUGACUAUGGAAGGGAAAGUCAAGCAGAGGCAUAUCCAUUCCAUUCCUAGCUUGGGCAGUGGCUAGUGAGUGGAAGGCAAUCUGCUACAAGU